GCAAACUUGGUCAUUUAGAGGAAGUAAAAGUCGUAACAAGGUUUCCGUAGGUGAACCUGCGGAAGGAUCAUUAAUGAAUAAACUUGGUUGAUUGUUGCUGGCUCCUAGGAGUAUAUGUGCACAUCUGCCAUUGUUUCAUUCUCAUUCUUUUUCCACCUGUGCACCUUUUGUAGACUUGGAUAACUCUCAAGGAUUCAAUCCUUGGAUUGUGGGAUUGGUUUCAUAACAAAAAGCCUCUUCCUUACAUUUCCAGUCUAUGUUUAUUAUCUACACCCCAUUUGUAUGUAUCAGAAUGUUGAUUAUUUGGCCUUUUGGCUUUAUAAUUUAUACAACUUUCAACAACGGAUCUCUUGGCUCUCGCAUCGAUGAAGAACGCAGC
rnacentral:misc_RNA from 1 species